GAUGAACGCUAGCGGGAGGCCUAACACAUGCAAGCCGAGCGGUAUUGUUUCUUCGGAAAUGAGAGAGCGGCGUACGGGUGCGGAACACGUGUGCAACCCGCCUUUAUCUGGGGGAUAGCCUUUCGAAAGGAAGAUUAAUACUCCAUAAUAUAUUGAUUGGCAUCAAUUAAUAUUGAAAGCUCCGGCGGAUAGAGAUGGGCACGCGCAAGAUUAGCUAGUUGGUGAGGUAACGGCUCACCAAGGCGAUGAUCUUUAGGGGGCCUGAGAGGGUGAUCCGCCACACUGGUACUGAGACACGGACCAGACUCCUACGGGAGGCAGCAGUGGGGAAUAUUGGUCAAUGGGUGCAAGCCUGAACCAGCCAUCCCGCGUGAAGGACGACUGCCCUAUGGGUUGUAAACUUCUUUUGUAUAGGGAUAAACCUACCCUCGUGAGGGUAGCUGAAGGUACUAUACGAAUAAGCACCGGCUAACUCCGUGCCAGCCGCCGCCGUAAAAC
rnacentral:rRNA from 1 species